GAUUGAGCGGCGGGCACGGUGGACGAAAAUCUCGGGGAUACAGGACACGGCAUCUUCCAAGAUUCAUUUGAGCGCUCUGCUUCUGGCGUGGAUACAUGUCUACCCGGCCUACCACUUUCGUUUCUCAAGUCAUACAACUCUGCUUAUGUUUUUCUUUGGCAGGCUUCGCGUCUCUGCCCGAGCUCUUGAGCGAGUUUGAAGACAUUUGCCGGGAUCUAGCGCAGGCAGUCACAGAGACGAGGCAACUACGAAGCAUCGAGCUAUAGAAGACAGAGCUCUACUUCAGUCAUGCGCACUUCCAUUUGUAUGGAAAAGAGGAUAUCACGGAAGACAAUCAGAAAGCAACCACGCGUUUAUAAGAACCGGUGCGACUGCUCAAACAUGCCCUCGUCUUGUCUCGCGAGUCUGGCGUCCAAGGAAUUGGAUUUAGAAAAGAAGGUGAUGCUCUUCCGUUGAGUAUAUGCAUGCAAAUGUUAUCGUUAUAGAGGAAGGGAUAGGGUGCGGGCUUAGAGGCUAGGCUUGUGGGAUCAAACAAAACGGGCUAUCAAAAAAAUAUUGGAACUCACUCUGUUCGACAUUGGUGCUCCAACUCGAGAAGGCUUACAGUUGCAUCCAGAAGAUCAGAAACUGGAAGAUAGUCUUUUGGAAGAUGCGUGGAAGCUCAUCCGAGCUGGAAGAAAAGGAGAAGCGCAGGACCCGUGUCCAACAGGGAUUGCUCUUCGUUGCUCAGGACAUUCUCUGCAAUGUAUGUGCAAUUAAGAAGUCCAUAGCGAGAAUUAACGUCACUAUGGCGUAGACAUUCCGGGAGGUGUGGAAGCACUUUUGGGACACCUGAAGCAGUCAUUAAAUGAAGCAGCAGACUGAACUUCUGCAGAUAUCUGAAAUGAAGACUUUUUUUAUUAGACACAUUAAGAUACUGUACUUUGGUGCCUGUGCCUCAAAGUUUGUGUUGAUUUAACUGGAUAA